rnacentral:rRNA from 1 species
GACGAACGCUGGCGGCGUGCUUAACACGUGCAAGUCGAACGGUAAGGCCUUCGGGUACACGAGUGGCGAACGGGUGAGUAACACGUGGGUGAUCUGCCCUGCACUUCGGGAUAAGCCUGGGAAACUGGGUCUAAUACCGGAUAUGACUUCUGGCUUCAUGGUUGGGAGUGGAAAGCUUUUGCGGUGUGGGAUGGGCCCGCGGCCUAUCAGCUUGUUGGUGGGGUAAUGGCCUACCAAGGCGACGACGGGUAGCCGGCCUGGGAGGGUGUCCGGCCACACUGGGACUGACAUACCGACCAGACUCCUACGGGAGGCAGCAGUGGGGAAUAUUGCACAAUGGGCGCAAGCCUGAUGCAGCGACGCCGCGUGGAGGAUGACGGACUUCGGGUUGUAAACCUCUUUCAGUAGGGAUGAAGCGCAAGUGACGGUACCUACAGAAGAAGCACCAGCGAACUACGUGCCAGCCGCCGCCGGAU